CAAGAGUAGCAUUCCAUUUUUUGUCUUUCUGUCUGAGCUGAACUGAGCUGGCGAGGAAUGUGCUAAAUAUAAUAUAUAAUUUCGGCGAAGUAAGGUACGUCAGAAUGAGUCAAGAAGAAUUUACCUGAGUCAAGGAGCUGCGACAUCAUGAUGAACCUUUGACUCUACUUCGCGAAUGAUCAGGCCAAUCGUAUCGCGAUAUUCACUCUGCACGGUACUUGCGUCAUUGCCGUCAAGGAUUCUUUUAAGUAGCACGCGUGGGACUUUUGCCCGCGUACAAGCAUGCAUUGACAAUAAAUGCAGUAAAUGGUUGUCUAAGUACAGAUGGUUUUUUAAUGCUAUCGCUAUGUAAACAGUAAUGUCGUUGUUGUACUUGAAACAUCAUUAUUAAUUGCUUCUUUGUCGCAGAUUUUAUUUUGAACGUGAUCCAAUGCUAAUAUUUCCUUAAUCAUUUGAGCAAAUGUUUCUCACCGUUUCGGUGAUCGGACCUUACUCUCAACCUUGACUAAUCAUAUCUUGACAAUUUCAACUUUUUAUUUUUUAUAAUUACGUAUCAUCUGAACUUUGUUGAACAAAACUAAAUCGUUCUACCAGAUAUAUCCCGUUGACUUAAAAAAAUCUUCCAUUUGCUUGCAGAGAAUUAUAUAAUAGAUACUUUCGUGAUAUUUUAAGCUUUCUCUCUCUCUUUGUCUUAUACGAUUGACAGCCUACGGAUCGCAUAGUCCGUUUGAAUUUGAUAUCGCUCGCAAAUACCACCAUCGAUCAAAUAACAUAGUCCUCGAGGCUAAUCAUAUAGAUACGCUGUGAGUUAUACAUUAAUCCAACAUUCACAACAUAAGAUUGAGAUGAUCAAUCGACAUGUUAGAAUCACAGGCAUGACUUCUAUCCGUUACAUUUGCAUAACUUUUGCUGCCGAUAAAAAAGAAGAUUUUACAUUUUCCAACAAGUAAAAUUAGAAAUGUAACGUUUCAAGCAGUUGAUUAAUUUUUCUCUUUCCAAUUAAAAACUUUUUUGUUUCUAAUGUAUAUAUUCAUACACGGCUUCACAUUAUAGAAAUCACAGGGGUCAAAGGUGAAUGCAAUUAGCCGGCGAGACUAUCCCGCGUUCUGAACAUCUAAGCGAACUCCGAUCUCACGUUUAUUGCUCUCAGCUUUCGCUGAUACGCAGUGAUACAAUGCGACUGAUGUGUAUCUAAGGUCGAGUGGUUCCUUAGGCGCGUUCUUAUCACCCGUGGAAACAAGCUCACACCAGUCAACCAAUCAGUCAGUCAGCCAGCCAGCCAGCCAGACAGUCAACUAGUCAGUCAGUCAGUUGUGCAUUUCCGCGCGCGUUGACAGUGUCGCACUUAUGUUGAGAAUAAUUGUCAGUAGCAUACUGUCUCGCACUGGUGUCAUCGUACCUCACACGACGCAAUAAGUCUAAAAGUGACAACCGACGCAUGCACGGUAUGCACGGGGUCGACCGAUCAGUGUGUGGCCGAUUUAUCUUUGCGGCGGAGAGUGAUCAAUCGUAGGCGCGAUUUCGGGCUGUCGCUCUGACACGCGAUUACGUUAACUCAGUGCUGGAUAACGCUUUCUAAGAAACCUCGAGUGCGAAAGCUUGGCGGAGACUAAGGCUCAGUCUGGUCCCUGUCUCUGAAUGAUUUAAAUAUUCAUUGUUCUUUUCGAGUAUCUCUAUGUCCGCAUCUCGGAGUCGCUACGAAUAUUCGGUGUCUUUGUGAUGUAGCAGCUCAAUCCUAAUAGUAUAACUGAUUUAUUUCGCUGUCAAGGAGAAUUAAUUGUGCCGCUCCUUUCAAGAGAUUUCGAGCUUUCGCUCAAUCGCUCUUUCGUUGGUGUGCUUAAAGAAUGAUACACGUGUCCAACAGCGUCUGGAACAUGGGGUGAUGAUGACAGUACGAUGGCGAUUCACAUAUUAACGUGAGAGAGAUACUCGUGAGCGUCACGCCGAGGCAAAAAGGAGCGGCUUACGAUCCGCGGCUGUUAUCAUCGUGGCUUUGUUGCAUUUUUCCCAAUAAUAGCGCUGCAACACGGCGACAGACAUGCUGCACCGCAACAGCUCGCAGCGAGAGUGCAAUCGCGUUGCAGAUAAACCUGCCGCGGAGAGUUUCAGAAAGUGGCGAGAAAUAAAAGUUGUUAUCCGAACGAUUGCGUCGACCCCUUACAGAAAGGGAACUGUCGAGGAAAAUCAAAUGAGAGAACAACACGGUAUUUUUACCCUUAGACUUUUCGUUCUCGUGAAUGCUUUUAUUGUAAAUAAAAUACGAUUGGGAUAAUGUUAGUCACACUUUAUCUGUUUCCUUCUAAAUCACGCUCGCACGUGCGUUAUUUUUAAAUUUGACGCAAAACAUUCACAAAAAUAGCUGAUUUUCUGGUUUAUCUAUGAAGAAGGGAUUGACUCAUGUAUUUCCAUAAUGACCGAUUCGGUUUUACUUAAAUACGUGAUGAGUCAGGUGUGAUGAAUCAGAACAUCAUGGAGAGAGCAGCGAAUAUAAUCUUAACGUAGAUUAAGACGCUCUAAGGCAUAUUAUUAGUAAUUGGCCUUAUUCCUAUUAUGAGUAAGACCAUUUUUUUUCUUCUCGAUUUCGCUGCCGGAAUUGAGAACGUGACGGCAAACUGGAGCUGCCUCGUAUAAUGAAUCGAUAUCUCGUUGUGAAACUAUUCCUUCUGCCCCGGAGGUAUUUGUCCAAACAUAAAUCUACAUCAGGAAUAGCGCGCGUUUCUUUCUCUCUUUUUCACACCGGUAUUCUGCGUCACAUCCCGUGUCACAUGCAACCGUGGUUUCAUAACGAUUGAAUUUCUUCUAAUACGGCGUACUCGUGUCGCGUAAAUACGUUGGUUUUAUUUCGCAUAUUGUUGCACCGGAAGGAAGUCUGCCUACGCAGUGCCCCGAUACGCUUCAAUAAUGCCAAUAUGGUGUGUAACUCCUCCUACACUGACUACAUGUAACAAAAAGAUCACUUUUUUUUUAACGAUUUCGCGCAAAUAGGGUACAAAAAUAUAUAAAAUUCAAAUCUGGAUGUAUUAAAUCGAUUGAAAUGAAAUAUUACGUAUACAGAAUGCAGCUGUGAAUCGAUAUUAAUCAACGUUAACUAAGAUUCGAGUCCUUGUUCCAAAUUAUAUCCGCUGGAACUGCCCGCCUUGGAAAUUUUCUUAUUUUUUUCAAUUAUCUAUCAUCACUCUCGCACAUGAAUCUCGCCGCGAAAUUAAUAACAAUCAUUAUCUGUAUCAACAACAUACGGCGCGAUUAUAGAAAAUCCACAUCAUUUCGGAGACGUAUUUUUUUCUACGUAAAGCAUGACAGGCACAAAAGCGGAAAACAACCGCAUUAUCACGUUUACGUGCCCGCGCGAUCAUGAGAGUACAGUGAUAGAUAAAUCGUGAUCGUUGAUCCGUAGAAUUAGAACUCCGAGGGAGUCAUACAAAUGCGUUACUCGAGAGUGUUGAUUAGAAGUAAAUCCCUAGUGGAAAGUCCGUAAGAUUUCAGUUCCACGGUAUUGAAAGUGUAUUUAGAAGGAUAACGUAAGUAACGGUACCAUUACGCGAUCACGGAUUCUGGAAAUGACGUCUUUAUACGAGAAAACGAUACGAUCACAUUGGAUGUCAUAGAUGUCUGAGAAGAUUCACGCUACGAGUGGUAUAAUCAUGAUGAUGUAAUCGAUAAAAAUCGUUGAUUGCGAUUCAAGGCGGUUUAUGCAAAACUCUCAGUUACGUUGGGUGAUUUAUGCAAAACUCGGGGAAUUUUAUCAAUAUGCAUCAUUGUUAGAUCAUGAUAUUACAAGCACGAUAAAGUCAUGAAGCCGAUCGACGUUAUUUCUCUCUUCUUUGCUUCGGUUUGAUAUUGAAUUUGAUAAGAAUUGUCGUUACUUUCUAUUUAAUAUUUAAUGCACGACGAAUAAAAUACCAGAUGCAAAUUCGAGACAAUAUCGCUUGUGAAAUAGCGAAUAAUAACAAGCUAUUGCGACGUCGAUUGCUAUCUCUUAAUGACUUUCAUUUCUCAAAGUUGUCGACUGCAAUUAGAUUAAGCAUAUCCGCAGUCUCCGAUAAGAACGCACCUACGUUUUUCUCGUACGAACGAUGGAUAGCGCACAUGUAGGAAGUAAUGGUAGAAAAUUUGAAAAAAUCGUCAUCGAUGUUACGAUGUUUGCGGUUGAUCGGACGAUUAAUACGUCAGCGAUAUCAAAGAAACUGCUUAAUAUCUCGUCAUAAUAGCAUCAUUCUCUUUCAUUCUCGUCACUACAUUGUUUUUCUAUAAAGUUUUAUUUGCAUACCAGUUUGCAAUCCCAACUUACGACUUUAGAAUUAAUCAGCUGUUUAAUAUUCGAAGAAAAAGCAGAAAUUCCUUUGAAGGAACUAUCGUUCGCAUUAUUAAAGAUUAAAUAAUCUAAUCUAAAUUCUGCUUCAACAUGUUUAUGUUUCAUAUUACGUGGUUGUUUGCGGACAUUAAUUACUUGCAUUUUUCCAACAAUGAAUAAAUUCAAGCAUUGAUAAAUCGAAUGAGGAAAUUAUAAUUGCAAGUCUUGUCAGAUAUGCUCAGCGAACUUUACUCUCA
rnacentral:lncRNA from 1 species